UAGGGAAUCUUCGGCAAUGGACGAAAGUCUGACCGAGCAACGCCGCGUGAGUGAAGAAGGUUUUCGGAUCGUAAAACUCUGUUGUUAGAGAAGAACAAGGACGUUAGUAACUGAACGUCCCCUGACGGUAUCUAACCAGAAAGCCACGGCUAACUACGUGCCAGCAGCCGCGGUAAUACGUAGGUGGCAAGCGUUGUCCGGAUUUAUUGGGCGUAAAGCGAGCGCAGGCGGUUUCUUAAGUCUGAUGUGAAAGCCCCCGGCUCAACCGGGGAGGGUCAUUGAAAACUGGGAGACUUGAGUGCAGAAGAGGAGAGUGGAAUUCCAUGUGAGGCGGUGAAAUGCGUAGAUAUAUGGAGGAACACCAGUGAAGAAGGCGGCUCUCUGGUCUGUAACUGACGCUGAGGCUCGAAAGCGUGGGGAGCAAACAGG
rnacentral:rRNA from 1 species